GUAUGGUGCAAGCGUUAUCCGGAUUUACUGGGUGUAAAGGGAGCGUAGACGGACUUGCAAGUCUGAAGUGAAAGCCCGGGGCUCAACCCCGGGACUGCUUUGGAAACUGUAGGUCUAGAGUGCUGGAGAGGUAAGUGGAAUUCCUAGUGUAGCGGUGAAAUGCGUAGAUAUUAGGAGGAACACCAGUGGCGAAGGCGGCUUACUGGACAGUAACUGACGUUGAGGCUCGAAAGCGUGGGGAGCAAACAGGAUUAGAUACCCUGGUAGUCCACGCCGUAAACGAUGACUGCUAGGUGUCGGGGAGCAAAGCUCUUCGGUGCCGCAGCUAACGCAAUAAGCAGUCCACCUGGGGAGUACGUUCGCAAGAAUG
rnacentral:rRNA from 1 species